GAAGGUAGCAGAACGUUCUGUAUUAUAUCUAAUAGUGGCUAAGGUACCACAGGACCAAAAGGUUUUGUAAAGGUCCACGAUAAAUUGAAUAUAAAUCGUAGACCACUAUUAGGGCGCCUCGCGCUCCGCGCGAGUCACCCGGCUACGUCCGGGGGACUCCGCGGUAAAAGUGUAAACGACUAAGAAAUAACAGAAGUGAGUAUGUAGACAUGAGUAACACUAUUUGAGUAAAAGAUUAACAUAUAUUUUAGG
rnacentral:rRNA from 1 species